UCCCAGAAGAUGACUGAGGGUGAGUUGGCU
rnacentral:piRNA from 1 species